AAUUUUGGACAAUGGGGGCAACCCUGAUCCAGCCAUCCAGCGUGUGCGAUGAAGGCUUUCGGGUUGUAAAGCACUUUUGGCAGGGAAGAAAAGCCGCGGGUUAAUACCCUUCGGUGCUGACGGUACCUGCAGAAUAAGAACCGUCUCACUACGUGUCAGCAGCCGCGGUACUACGUAGGGUGCAAGCGAUAAUCGGAAUUACUGGGCGUAAAGCGUGCGCAGGCGGUUCGGCAAGAAGGAUGUGAAAUCCCGGGGCUUAACCUCGGAACUGCAUUCUUAACUGCCGGGCUAGAGUAUGUCAGAGGGGGGUAGAAUUCCGCGUGUAGCAGUGAAGUGCGUAGAGAUGCGGAGGAAUACCGAUGGCGAAGGCAGCCCCCUGGGAUAAUACUGACGCUCAUGCACGAAAGCGUGGGGAGCAAAC
rnacentral:rRNA from 1 species